CCCCCGGGUCCACGACGCAGCCCCCGGAUGAGGCCGCAGUAUUUUCCUUAUAUGAUCGGGCCCCAUGGCUGGCAGUGCCGCCGGCCCGGAGCCUGAGAGGAUUAUGAAAACGUGUCAGGCGGAAUGGGGCCGCGGACCCGGGG
rnacentral:snoRNA from 1 species